AGACGCUGGCGGCGUGCCUAACACAUGCAAGUCGAGCGGGGUUGAAGCGAGGGGUAACUCGAGUUUCUACCUAGCGGCGGACGGGUGAGUAACGCGUGGGCAACCUGCCUCAAGGACUGGGAUAACAGCUCGAAAGGGCUGCUAAUACCGGAUAUGCCUGUGGCCUCGCAUGGGGCUAUGAGCAAAGGGGAAACCCGCCUUGAGAUGGGCCCGCGUCCCAUCAGCUAGUUGGUGAGGUGAAGGCUCACCAAGGCGACGACGGGUAGCCGGCCUGAGAGGGUGACCGGCCACACUGGGACUGAGACACGGCCCAGACUCCUACGGGGGGCAGCAGUGGGGAAUCUUGCACAAUGGGCGAAAGCCUGAUGCAGCGACGCCGCGUGAGCGAAGAAGGCCUUCGGGUUGUAAAGCUCUGUCUGGAGGGACGAAGGAAGUGACGGUACCUCCGGAGGAAGCCACGGCUAACUACGUG
rnacentral:rRNA from 1 species